ACAAGCCUGUAAUUUGUAUACUAUGUCAAGAUGUCCUCAUUUAAAAAAAAAAAAAAUCUAACAAGGAGGAUGAACAGUGUCCAUAUGACAUAAAUCUACUGAGACACAAAUCUUCGUGUCAGAAAAACAAAGGAGCAUCACUGCUGUCAUCUUUCUUCCUACCUAAGCACAUGCAAUGGGGUUUUUGCUUAAAAAAAUAAAAAUUAAAAAAAAGGCUG
rnacentral:lncRNA from 1 species